rnacentral:lncRNA from 1 species
AAGUUAGUUUCUUUUUUCACUGACAAACAUCUAUCAUAUUGCUUUUCCUAAAAAAAGCCAAAGCUAAAUCAAGGUGGAGUUUCUCCAAGAAGCAUAAUUAAUCACAAACCAUAUAAGCAAUAAAAUAUGGUCGGCAACACCCUUUUAUUACUUCAAUUUAUUUUGUUUUAGGUAUAUGAAACCACCCUAUAUUAUAAAAUUACACCACAUUAUUUCAACAAGCCAGUGAAGUAUCGGCGAAAACAUUUUAACAAGAGAGAUUUGGGCCAGGAGCAACACCAAAUUUGUUGCAAUAAUCUUUAUAAUAUCCAAUGCGAGCUAGAACCUGAGCAGGUUGCUUGCCACCGCAUUCAACGGCACCAUUGAUUCUCUGAAUUGUUGCACCAAAACCUUGGUUCAUAACUGGGUGCACAUUGGUCAUCCAAAACCACAAGGCAGUCUUAAAUGACACAACGGGGUCCUUGGCCACCGUUUCCGGAGCUCUUAAUCCGUCAAACCCGAUGGCUUUUCCGGCAGCUCCGUAGUUUCCAUUUCCGGUGAGUUGGAUCGGUCCACGGCCGUAGUAGAACUUUCCGGGAACACAUGGGUACUGUUUGUUUUGUUCAUCACAGUACCGGUUGGACUUGUUAAUCUCUUCUAUGUAGCAGAAAUCUGAAAAAGCCAGACAUUUUUUUUCUAAUUAAUUCUCUCCGGGCUUAAUCAAGAUAAUUGGCUAGUGGCAAAUCAUAUCAAUUAAAAGUUGGAGUAUUCAAUUAGUUUUAUUGAAAACUUUUAUGUGUUCAACAAACUGAGAACAUUAUUUAAUACAUAUAAAGCAUGUAAUUAAAAAGAUUAUGUUCAUUCCAACCUUAUAUAUAUUUCUAGUAGUGAACAAAUAUGGGCCCUUCGAUUUGAAAUUCAACUUCAACCUUUUGCUUUUUUUUCCUGGGGCGGCGGGGGGGGGGAUAUAGUUUUAAAAAAUUUCAAAAACGGUUUUGAAAAUAAUAAAACAAAGAAAAGUCGUUUUCUUCUCUAUGCAUGGAUUGCUCAUAAAUACUUUGCAUGCAAAAAGAAAUAAAAUGGAGAGAACUUACGUCCAGUUUCAUGAGUGACGUGUGCAAAAAAUGCAGCAAUCUCACGCUUCGAAACUUCAGGAGAGCCGCUACCAAAUUGAGGAUAAGCCUUGGCAGCAUUCAGAAACGCAUCUCUCGUGUAGAAGCUCUUGCCGGCACAACUCGCGGCUGCCUGAUUCUUUAUGCCGUCGAAGAACUGGGGAGUCACAAUGCUAGCAACAUUUUGACACAUUACUUUGGUGGGAAAAGCUAGGGCAAGAAUGCCCACAAGAGCAAAGGUUACAAUAUUUUUUUUCAUGUUAAGUGGAGCCAUUUUGUUUAGGAGUAGAGAAAUGUGAGUGAUAUGCAAAUGUUGGUGAUGGGAGUACGGUAUUUAUAGAGUGCAAAAUGGACGUUAUGUCUGCCACGUGCUGGUGAAUUGUGAUAAAUUUGAACAUAGAGUUUAUCUCUUGUUAGGUUUUUCUAGACUUCGCAUUUGUUGUGGCUUGAAAUCUAGCUGGCUUGACUUGUCAAAAGAACUAGAAAUAAAAUAAAAGAAAAUAAAUCAAAUCUUUCGAGUGGGUUGUUGAUUGACCGCCAUCUAUAUUAAACUUUUUCAAAUUAAAUUUGAAUAAUAAUUGUACAAAAUAUAAUUUUAAAUAACUAAUUUUCAAUAAAUUUUGAGGAAAUUUGUUUUUUAAUGUAACUGAAUUAAUUGUAGAUUGGAAAAUCUUAAACUCAUACUUGUUUCGAGCUUUCAGAUAUUGAAACUCAGACAUGUUUAUUUUUAAUUAUCUACCUACUUUGUUUAUAUAUAUACACAUGCACUAGACUUUACACAAAUUUUAACAAAAAAAUAUGUGGUUUGUACUCAUUUGAGUGAUUUAAAUUUUUUUAGGUUUGUUAAUUAAUAACUAAUAACAUGGUAUCAUAUUUUCUCAGCUAAAUACUUAUUUGGUCUGUGUAUUUUUCAGUUAAGUAUCCAUUUAAUCUCUUUAUUUUAGAAAAUAUUUCAAGACAUCUUUACUGGUAAAUAUAUUACAUUCCUACCCUGAUCUUUUCUUUGAUUUUAGAAUAAUACCCUUACAAUAAUAUUGUUGGAGAUUCAAUGAAAAGAAAAAAAAAUGAAUUUAUCAAAUUAGUCUUAAAAGUAAGAUAAAAAUUACUCUAUCUAUUUUUUGUUAUCUUAAUUUUAGGAUUAAUUUGGUAAUUAAUUUUUUUUUACAAAAAAUUAACUUAGCUUAAACAUUGCUUUAAAUUAGUUGGUUUUAAUUUAUCAUAAAUGGUUACUAGUUGUUUUAGAAUGAUAUUUAUUUCUAAUUUUCUAAUAUAUUGGUUAAUAUGCUAUUUAUUUUUUUAGAUAAAAAAUUAAUGCCAAAAAUAUUAUUGUUAGUAUUGUUGUAAAAGGUAAGAAAAAAAUAAGAGGAAGAUCGUAACAUAUUUAAAAUAGGAUGUCUUUACAUUUUUUUUUAAAAUAUGUGGACAAAAAAGAUAUUUAAAUUAAAAUAUAGGAUAUAUACCCUAAUUUCUUUAUAACUUAAUUUCCUUUCUUUCCUUAAUUCUUUUUCCUUUUUUUUAGUGAUAUCAGUUAUCACAAUGUAAAAAUUAAUAAUCAGUCCAAACAUCUGAGUUUUUUUUAAUAUUUUCCGUUUAUAAAUACUGAAAUAUUUAUGUAUAUCUUCGAAACUGAAAAGUCAAGCCUUCCACUAACUCCCGUUCUCAAUUAGCGGCGUAAAUUUGGGUCCAUGAAAUGAAAGCAAUUCUUCUUGUACCCUUUUCUCCACACUAGUUCUUCUCGUUCUCUUCUCGGCAUUGAUAUUCUGGUGUGUCACUAAUCAAUUUAAUAUCUCAAAAUAUUUUGGUGACGUCCUAAUGUAUACAAACUUUCAUUCUCAAGUACAAGGGUUUCAUCUGUUUUAAUAAAAUUAAUAUUUAAUAUAUUAUAAAAUCAUGUAAUUUAAUAAUAUGUUUGUACUAAUUUUAUUAAAUCAUAUGACUCAAUAACGUGUCAUAUGAAAUAAACAAUAAGCUGUCCACAUGAAAAAAAAAAGUUUAUAUCUAUACUUAUCAAAAAUUAAUUAGAAAAUAUCCUUAUUAAAAAUCUAACCGAUCAAAGGAGCUUCUAAAACUUUCACGUAGGAUAAGUUGUCUUUUUCCAUAACUUAAAAACUUUUUUCUGAUACAAACCCCAACAUAUGAUUAUGGCCAUAGAAAAUUUGAAAAUUUUGUCCCAAAAAAAAACUUGAAAGAAAAGCUUAAAACUAAUAACGAAAAAUAGGAUAAAUUAAUCAAACACAUGAUGACCAAUUUUGCAUUAAUCUAUUUGUGAUAGCCAAUUUUAAUCCAAAAUAAAUAUAUCUGCAAUCGGAAAAAUAACUUUUUUUUUUAACUUCGAUAUUAGCGACAGGCAGCCACUGAUUGGGACCAUCAAGUAUACAAGUUUACAACGGUACGAAACUUGUUUCGAUUGCAUUCGGCUUCCCCAAAAAGGGGCAAAAAAGAAAACAGAUUUUCUUUGUAAUGUCGGUAGCAUGUUCUUUUGACAAGUUUAAUAAAAGAUUCAAAGAAAAUCUAUGACUUUUUACUCAAAACUUUCCACCUGGGGAGAUGAAAACUGCACAGUUAAAGCAUCAAACACAUUGUUCAUGAAUCAUGAUCAAAGGAAAAAAAAUUUCUGAGCUGGAUUGAAAACAUCAAAAUCAGUAUUCAUAAAUCAUGAUAAGAAGAUAAAAGUUCUCUUUGUCGGAUAAGAAACAUUAGCUUUUCAGAAUUUUUUUUUUUUUUUAAAAUGAACUUAGAAGGAUUCCAAGUGUCCCUUUUACUAAUUUAUAAAUAGGGUAAUUUGCCCUUAUUUGUAUGAAAAGCCAACCACAUCCUCCUGACAAAAAAACAAAAAAAAGGGGCAAAAAGCCAACCUCAUCCGUCGAAUCAGCCAGUAAUUUUUUACACGUGUACAAUUUUUGGGAUUUCUUAACACAUGCUGUUUGGAAAGCAUCUCGUAUCGCCCAAAAUAAAAAGUGCAUAAUUUUCUUUUUUUCAAAGGUUCUUUUAUAAAUGAUAUCGGUCAAUGGAAUUAUUGUUUUGCUCUAAUUUUUUAUUAGGCUCUUCUCUUGGGAUUUUUGUCCUUCAUUCGAAGCCUUCUGACAAAUCACAAUUGGGGCUAUUUUGAAUGACAAAGCUUGCUGGACUUAUGACUAGGCUCCUUUUGGUAUGUCAUUUCAUUUGAAUAUGUAAUUUCUUUAAUUACGUUUGAAAAGGAAAAAUAUGACAAGAAAGAGGAGUACACUAUAAUAGUUGUCUGAGUCUGAUAAUGGACUGUACAGUGCUUACCUUGAUAGAACUCAGUGCACAAAGUAGUUGAGCAUACAUAACAAAAUCCCCAAACUUUACUCCGUUGCCAAACAUGUCUAAGUUAAAUUUACUCUAUUAUAAAAAAGUCUUGGGCGUUGGGUGUUUUAGGAGCACCACAUCAUUCACAUUCACAUUAUAAUAUUUGAGCAAAAGAAAAUUGCCUAAAAUAUGUAUGAUUAUCUGCAGGCUUUAAGUUUUAUCCAAUUAAAGAAUUGAAUGUUCAUCAUUUAUCAAAUUAAUAACUAGUUUUUAAAGAAAUUAUGGCUCUAAAGUAUUUCCAGUUUUCUUUAAUUUCAUAGACGAGUCAAUUAAAAACAAAAAUAAUCCAUUAAUUUAUGGCAGACGAGAACAAUAUUUCAAUUGCAAAUCAACCUGAAAGUUGUUUACAAACAUAUCAUAAUCUAUAGGAACAAAUCAGUUAUAUAUAUAUAUAUAUAUAUAUCUUAUGGCAACAAAAAAACAUACAAAUUAACUUUAUUCUUGAUUUUUUUCUACACGACAAUAGUUGUUUACAAUUGUAUGAUUCUGGCUGAUGGAGGUAUAAACCACAAAUCAUGUGAUUAGUAAUUAGUUCUUUCAACUAUUGUUCAAGCAAUAAAGAGUCCCAUUUCAUGGCCAAGAUUGCACGUCAACCAAAAAAAGACAUGAUCUUAAAUGAUAUAACAAAAUAAAUAUGUAGUAAUUUCACUUACAAACUAAGGGUAUUUUUUACUUUCCUCCAUUGAUUAUUCAAAAAAACUUCCGCUGACCUGAAAACAUUUUUUACCAUAACAGUUGUGUGGCUGUUUAGUGGACCUUGAGGCGUUCCAUAGGACAUCCACUGAUUCCAAAUAAAAAACGCACCCUUUGUUGAGUCCGGCCCAAUACAUCUUUUGUCAUCUACAAUAAAUUAUUUUACAAUUUAUGUUUAUGAUUUUUGGACUUAAUAACAGCGGUUCAUUGACAAUCUACUUUAACAGUAAGGGAACCUAUUUUUAGGUUGCAAAACUUGCAGCAAUAAAUUAGCUUCCCCAAAAGAGAAAUAAAGAUUUCACAUUCUAAUUAAAUAUCAAGGAAAUUAAUUAAUUGUGCUCCAUUAUUCCAACUUCCGAGAUCAGUACAUCAAAAUUGAACAUUAAUAAUUAAAUUGUUCAAAACUUGUUGCGAUAAGCUAGCUAGUUCCCAAAUGGAAGUAUAAGAUUUCACUUCCUUAGAUAGACACGAUAAUCUUUUACUAUAAAUUUAAAUUAAACCUUAUUAAAGGUCUUGAAUUCAUUGUACGCACAUAGUUUGAACCUCAUAUAGACCACCAACGUAACCAUGAAGAAAACUAUCUUCUAUAAAAGAUUUUCCCACCAAAGCUGAACAAGUAUCAGAUUUAGGGUUAGGAUUAGGAUUUGUCAACAUUUAGAAAUUUGGAUUUAGAUUCAGGAUUUGGCAACAUUCGAAUUUCGGGUUAGGUUUUGGUAGUUUUCCUGUUGUAUUUUAAUGGCUAUUAACAAGAAAUUAAUCAACUCACACAACUUUGAUCAAUUAAAGACAGAAUGGAAUCAAGAACAGAAAAUGAUUCAGUCAAACAAGAACCUAGAAAACUAUUCACAGUGAACAAGCUUCCAAGUUUCAAAGGAAAAAUGAACAAGAUCUCAUUACUCAAAUGCUUUACAAUCAGAUCAAUUGUUUUGAGGACACUUCAAGGAUUCCAAAGAAUCUAGAAUCACCUGUUUUAGCUAAGAAACAAAAGAGAAAUCACACACAAAGCAAUGCACAGCAGGCCCUUUUAUAUUUUGGAAAUUUUCUAGAAACACCUUAACAACCUUUAACCUUUUUGCCACAUUAGCGCAGAAUUUACAAAUUGACUCCUCAUUUGAAGUCGAUUUGCACAUUACCCAGCAACUUUCAUUCGAUUACAUUUUAGUCCAAAAACAUAACUCAUGUCCUCACACUCUCCACCUUGCAGAUCUGAUUCAGCAUUACUCUUGACCAUAAGUGCUUUAAAAAAAAAAACCUUCAACCACGCAACUUAACAACUAGAACCAUUUCUAAUACCAAUCAAGUCUACACAAAUCUUAAAUUUGGCUGUUGGAAUUACUUCUAUUAACAUAUCAGUAGGGUUGAUAUCUGUAUAUAUUUUUGUUACUACAACAAACCCUUUUGCGACCUCAUCUCUGAUAAAGUGCAACUUCAUAUCAAUGUGUUUGGUUCUCCCACGAUAAAUUUCAUUUUUGAUAAGCUGAAUCGCACUCUAAUUAUCACAAAAGAUCUAAACUGUCUUUUGCUUCAACCAAAAUUCAUUCAGUAGCCUUCUCGGCCACAAUGAUUCUUUUACUGCCUCUAUUGCAGCAAAAAUUCAGCCUCGGUAGAUAACAAAGCUACUAUGUGUUGUAAAGUAAGUUUCCAACUUAUGAGACAGUUUUCCAGCAUGAACAGGUAUCCAGAGAUAGAAUUUCUCCUAUCUAAGUCACCUGCAAAAUUAGAGUCCACAUAGCCUCUAACUUCACAGACUUCUUGCUUGGAUUUGCCAUACACCAAACCAUAAUCUAAAGUACGUUUCAAGUACCUCAUAACCCAUUUCAUAGCAUCCUAAUAAAGCUUAUCAGGAUUACUCAUAAACCUGCUUACUACACUUACUGCAUAAGCUAUGUCUGCUCUGGUGCAAACCAUUGCAUACAUUAAGCUUCCUACAGCCAGUAAAUAUAGAAUUUCUUAGCAUCUGAUAUUGGAGACAUAUCAUCAAAGAGUUUAAAUUGAGCUCCCAAAAGUGUCAUUACAGGUUUUGAAUCCAUCAUAAUAUACUUUUCUAACUCCUUACUGACAUAUCUUGAUUGGCUUAGAAAUAAAGUACCAACAGCUCUAUCUCUAAGAAUAUCCAUAACAAGGAUCAUCUUAGCACUGCCAAGAUCUUUCAUUUCAAAUUCCCCCUUUAAUAAAUUCUUAAGUUUCUCAAUAUCACUAGAAUUUUUACCAACAAUGAGUAUAUCAUCAACAUACAACAAAAGAUACAUAGCUCCACCUGAGGUUAUGUUCCUAUGAUAGACAUGUUGUGCAAAUUUUAUUGAACUCGCAAGUGCACGAAUCUAUUUUAGAAUAGAUCAAUGGUGACAAGUGUCGAUCCCACGAGGAGGUGGAUUUUAAUUGUGUGUAGAAUUAAUUUUUCUAAAUGGGUGGUUGGAAUUAUGGUAAAGAUGAUUUGGAAUAUCUUAAAAUUUAAAUUGAAAUUACAGAAUUAAAUUAAAAUGGAAACUAUAAUAAUUGAAGCGCUUGGGUAUCUGGAUCCGCAUUAACAUGCACCAUGGGCUAAAUAUUUCUUAUUAAUGCCAAUUAAAUCAUGAGGGGGGAAUCCACACCUCAUGAACCACACUCUAAUCAAUAUGGUGCUAAGAGCUUAUCGUACCAAAUAAUAAUAACUUUGUACUAGGGAGCCGGUAAAACCAAGGCGGUAUCUAGACAAGAUUAUUAUUAUUUGUCGACGAAAAGUCAAAACAUCCACAAAAAUUAGAGGGGAAGAGAAAAUAAAUUUACCAAAUAAAGCCCAUGACAUAUGUUGAGAAUUCACCUUCAACCCAAGCUUGAAAGAAAAUUAAGUACUCAUAAUUGAACUAGGGGAAAAAUAAGAAUUUAUUAAAAUACGUAGAAAAUACAAGAUGGAGAAGGAAUUAUAGAAAAUGGAACUUAAAAUUGAAUUCAGAGAUAUCAAAAUAGGGGGGGAGAGGUCCUAUUUUUAUAGAUACAUUGAGUAAACCAUGACUAUCGAAUUAAAAACAGUUUGAACGCUCAGGAUUGCGCCACGUCAUCAGUCAACAGUACGCGGUUUGACCACGCGGUUUGAACAGUGAUACGGUUUGACCACACGGUUUGAACAGUCAACCGGUUUGAAUAGUGACAUAGUUUGGUUGAAAAUAAUCUUGUGUAUAUGCAUGUACUAUACGCGCGAUUUUUAGUCCACUGAUAUGCUGCCGCAUCACCAAUCAACAGUGCAUAAGAAUUUUCUCCAAUGGAAUCGUGUCACCUCAUCAGUCAAUGCCACAUUAUCGGUCAAUGCCACGUCAUUGAUCCGUCUAUGUGAACAGUAUCGUGAACAGUAACGUAAACAAUACCGUACAUGUGAAUAAUAUCGUACAUGUGAACAAUGAUAUUUUUCCUUUUAUGCUCCUCCUAAGGUUUUCGACUGUCCUGAGUUCAAAAGUGAUGUCCGUUUUGCCGUCUGAUCUCUCGUUCAUUAUGAAAUGACCAUGAUGUCCUUAAAAUACAUAAAAUACUUAAUUAAAAUAAAACAUAUAUAAUUGAAUCACAAGAAACUUAAAAUACAUAAAAGUAAGGGUGUUAGUAAGACUUGAAAUGUAAAAUGACGAUUUUCUCCUUUAUAAAUAUACAUUUUCUAACACUCAACAAGACACAAUUAUCAUAUGUGCUCUUGUAAUAGCCAUUAGAGAUCAUAAACUGGUCAAAUCUCUUACAUUGCCUAGGAGACCCUUUCAAGCCAUAUAGAGACUUAUGCAGAAGACAUACAUAAUCCUUAUGUCCCUUUACUUUAAAACCUUCAGGCUGUGACAUUAAUAUCUUCUCUUCAAGAUUAUCAUGUAAGAAGACAGUCUUUAUAUCCAUUUGUUCAAGCUCUACGUGAAGCAAAGUCACCAUAACAAGUAAGGUUCUAAUUGAUUUGUGUUUUACAGCAUGUGAGAAGAUUUCAUUAAAAUAUACCCCUCAUUUUGAAACCCCUUGCCACAAGUCUUGCCAUAUAUCUUGAGUCUUUAACACCUGGAAUACCUUCAUUCCUCUUGAAUAUCCAUUUGCAGCUGACAAUUUUCCUAUUUCUUGGAUUAGAAACCAAUGUCCAUGUCUGAUUCCUUACCAGAGAAUCCAUCUCUUCCCUUAUUGCUUUAAUCUAGUUAUUGUUGUUCUUGUUACUUAGUGCUUUUGCGUAGCUGCUAGGCUUUUCAAUUGAAACAUCCUCUACACUCGUCAAUGCAUAUGCAAUUAUGUCUGUAUAUGCAUACCUUUUUGGGGGUAUGAUAUGUCUUCUUUAUAUGUCCAUAUCUAAUUGAUAUUAUUGCAGAUCAGUAACUUGUGGUGCUGCAUCUUCAAUUACUACUGUAUCUUGAGAAUAAUCUUCAACAGCUUCUGGUUGUACUUCAUCUUUAUGAGCACUAGACGACUCUACCUCAAUCUUAACACCUUGAUUAAUGACUCCAGUAGUCAGUGUCUUAUUUACAUUAAUAUCAGUAUCAGAAGUUACUUGAUCAGACUUAUUGAUUACAAUAACUUCAUUAAACAGAAUAUAUAAUUAAACACUUAUUAGCUUUUCCACACCAAACUAUGUAGCCUUUAACCCCAUCUAUAUAACGAACAAAUGCUCAUUUGACAGCUUGUGCAUCAAGCUUCCCUUUUCUAAUAUGAACAUACGUAGGAUGCCCGAAUACCCUGAGAUAUUUAUAGCUUGCAAGUUUUCCAGACUAGACUUCUUAUGGAGUUUUGAACCCAAUGGCUGAUGAUGGACUUCUAUUAAUGAGAUAACAGGCUGUUGAGAUAGCUUCAACCCAAAAACUCCUUGGUAAUUGAUAAUUGAUCAAUAAGCAUCUUGUCUUAUAAACAAGGGUUCUGUUCAUCUUUUCAACUAAGCCAUUUUGCUGAGGGGUGAGCGUUACCGUCUUAUGCCUCCUAAUCCCUCAUUCUUGAUAAAAAAAAAAAACUUUAAACUCUUUAUUACAGAAUUCAAGUUCAUUGUCUGUCCUAAGGCAUUUCACUUUGAAACCAUAUUGAGCCUCCACCAAAGCCUUCAAGACUUUAAAAUUUUCCAAGACUUUAAAAUUUUCCAAGACUUGACCUUUGGUUUUCAAAUAUAUAUACCCAAACCUUUUUGGAGUAAUCAUCUAUCACAGACAUAAAGUACUUUCCACCACUUAGAGAAGAGACCUGACCAGGCGCUCAAAGAUCAGCAUGCACAUAGUCUAAAGGUUGUUUAGACACAUGCAUCCCUUUAGUAAAUUUGACCUGUGUGCUUUGCUAAAAAUACAGUUUUCACAUAAGUCUAACUCAAUUAUUUUGUCACCACAGAGCAACCCUUGAAUACUUAAUUUUUGCAUUCCCCUAAUACUCAUAUGGCCAGGUCUAAGAUGUCAUAACAUAGUUCUAUCAAGCUCAGAAAUAGUUGUCAUUACAGUUGACACAAGCACUGAUGAUCCUUCUAAUAUAUAAAGACCAUUUUUCUUAAUCCCUUUCAUUACCAUCUCAGUCCUUUUCAUAAUCUUUAAACCACUAUUUUCAAAUUUGAAGAAGUAUCAUGUACUAUCCAGCAUGCCUAAAGAGAUUAAGUUCCUCUUUAGCCUAGGUGUAUGUCUCACAUCAUAUAGAGUUAUAACAAUCCCAUCAAACAUCUCUAUUUUGAUAAACCCUAUACCAAAAAUCUUACACACAUUGUUUUUUCCCAUCAAAACUCUACCACUAUCCACAUAUUCAUACUCAUAAAAAAAACUUCUAUCAGGACACAAAUGAAAGGAACAGUCUGAAUCAAGGACCUAAUAACCUCUAAUGUUGUUGUUUAAGGCUACCAACAAGUCAGCACUAUGGUAUCCAUCAUCAGAUAAAUCAUCUGAGGCCACUGCUGCAUCUCAUAUUCUCUCCGUAUCAUAUUUCUUUUUCUCAGAACAAUCUCUAAUGUAAUGGCCUUGUUUCAUACAGUAAAAACACUUCCUCUUCUUCAUUUUUUUUCUUUUGCAGAUCUAUCAAAAUUGUACGUGAAAAGUUCUCAUUUAUCCUUUAAUAAUGCAUAUUUUUUGUCACUGUUUAAAAGUUGGAACAAAAUGAGUAAUAAAUUUCAUUGGAACUCAAGUGGUAAAAAUAAAUUAUAAGAUAGAUGGAGCAUCAUUCUCCCUAAUUUUAAUUAAUAGAUCAAACUUUUUCUUCUGGAUAAUUAUUUCGAGGAAUAGUAUCCUUAGCUCGUUUACGUAGGCAACAAGUUAGCAUAACCUACAUAUGAAACAAUAUCUUCUAAAGACUUGAAAAUUCUCGUAAGCAAGAAGUUAGCAUAACCUACAUAUAAAACAAUAUCUUUUAAAGACUUGAAAAGUCUAGUCAAUUUUCUAAACUUUCAUUCUUGAACGAUGUCUAUUUUCUUAUAGGUAAACUCAAGGGACAUUUUCUUUAAAAAAAGUUGAUAAAACAAAUGUGAAAUUGAAUUAAAUUCUCAUAAUUAGAACCGAAGCAGAAAAAAAAUGACGUUAUUUUAUAUUUAAAUAAUGCUACAUAGCAUGAUCUAAGAGAAUAUAAGAAAUUAAAUAAAAAAUAUUAAAUUUUGUAAAAAAAUUAAAAAAUUUUAUAAAUAUUUAAAGGACCAAACUAAAUCGAAAAUCUUAGUUCUAAUUCUAUUCCUAUUGAUUUUUCAAGAAUUCAGUACUGAACCAAACUAAAGUUUUGGAUUCGGCCCAAUACCUAAUCAAAUCGUCUCAUUGCCCACCCUUAAGUAAAUUAUUGUUUAUAUAUAGCUUGUUGCAAAAUAAUAAUCAUAUAGGAUUCAAUUACUUUGAAACAAUUGCAACAUGUGUCAAAUUUUUUCAUUAUGAUACUUCAGCUGUAUACAUGAAAAAGUAGUUUCAACGGUAGGAUGUUGUUAUUUGGUUAUUAACAUUAUACCCUCUAAAAAAUAUUUCAGAACUUAAAAACAAUCCGGCCCAAAUUCCAAAUCUCUCUCUUCUUCUCAAAAUCAUCUUCAUCUCAUCUCAUCUCACCUUCAUUUCAUCUUGUUCCCUAAUUGUCGCCCAAAUUCUCAUCUUGUUCUUGUUCAUUUACAACUGAAUUUGAUUUAGCAUUAUUAUUUGUGGAACUUUCAAAUUAAAUUGACCAAAAGUGACUGUUCCUUUGGGGGUGGACCCAGGCCUCGAAAAUUUUUGCUUACACCCCUUAAUUUUUUAUAAUUUUUCAUAAAAUAAUAUUUAUUUUAUUUUUAAAUAUGUCCCCAAUUCAACUUUUUUUUUCUUCAAUUAGAGUUAGAGAUUAUAUAUUUAUUUAAUAAAUUGAAAACAUCAGAAGUUUAAAGCCUUAGCACCGCUUUACCUUAUUAUAAAAAAUAUUAUAAUUUGGUCUAAUUGAAAAAAAAAUGUCAAUAGAUUAUAAUAUUAUCACUAUGAGUAAUUUUAAUCUUAUAAUAAGAGAAUCUUUUACUUUAGGGAAAAAGAUACCUACAUCCUCAAGGUUUAGAGAAAUGGUUAUGUAGAUCUAAAAUUUUUAAUAAAAGAUACCAAGACCCACUUUUGAUUAUAAUACCAUUUAGCACUAUUAACUCAAAAUUUUUUUGUAAGGUUGUCCUACUAUCUUAGUAUGUUAAAUUUGUUGGAAAAAAUCCAAUACUAUUGGGUUAUGUGACAGAAUAAUAAGUCUCUAAAUGGUAUGAUUGAGGUGGUGCGAUGAUCCGACACAAAUAUUUCUUGUCAAACAAAGGGUUCAAAGCCAUAAAAUUAGUAGAGUAAAUGCAAUAAAAUAAUGUUAUUCAUAAAGCUGAAGUUUUAUGCUCCUCCAAAAUUGAUUUAGCUUACUGGCAGCCCCGAUAAAAGCUGCCCGGUGCCGGCUAUCAGCCAUCUUUAUAAAUGUGUUGAUUUAUUUAAUAAAUUGAAAAUACAUAAGAAAGUAAGGAGGCCAAAUAAAAUUUAGUAUUGCAAAAGAUUGAAAAAAAGGCGCCACUGUGAUACUACGGUACGAAAGUUGUCGCGCAGUUUCCUUUGUCCUAAUCUCUAACACGAUUCUUCUCAUAAUUCCAUGGAAACAUUGUCUUGUUCUGAACCAAUUAUUGUUGUCAAAUACUUUGUUACAUUCUUUUUAUGAUACACAUAUUAUCAAAAUAUUUGUUACAUUUAUUAAGUUAUUAAUUCAUCAUAUUUUUUAAGUCCUAUGUUACAAAUAUUAUGUUAUGAAAAAGCUGGGUUACUUAAAGUUGGUGUCCAAUCCGACACUCAAUCAAUCACUAAAGCUAGUAUUGCUCUUUGUAUAAAGUUAGUUUCUUUUUUCACUGACAAACAUCUAUCAUAUUGCUUUUCCUAAAAAAGCCAAAGCUAAAUCAAGGUGGAGUUUCUCCAAGAAGCAUAAUUAAUCACAAACCAUAUAAGCAAUAAAAUAUGGUCGGCAACACCCUUUUAUUUCUUCAAUUUAUUUUGUUUUAGGUACAUGAAACCACCCUAUUUUAUAAAAUUACACCACAUUAGGAACACACUUUUAUUUCUUCAAUUUAUUUCGUUUUCGAUACAUGAAACCACCCUAUAUUAUAAAAUUACGCCACAUUAUUUCCACAAGCCAGUGAAGUAUCGGCGAAAACAUCUUAACAAUAGAGAUUUGGGCCAGGAGCAACACCAAAUUUGUUGCAAUAAUCCUUAUAAUAUCCGUUGCGAGCUUGAACCUGAGCAGGUUGCUUGCCAC